UGGGGAAUAUUGCACAAUGGGCGCAAGCCUGAUGCAGCAACGCCGCGUGAACGAUGAAGGUCGUCGGAUCGUAAAGUUCUGUUGCAGGGGAAGAUAAUGACGGUACCCUGUGAGGAAGCCCCGGCUAACUACGUGCCAGCAGCCGCGGUAAUACGUAGGGGGCUAGCGUUAUCCGGAUUUACUGGGCGUAAAGGGUGCGUAGGUGGUCUUUCAAGUCGGUGGUUAAAGGCUACGGCUCAACCGUAGUUAGCCUCCGAAACUGGAAGACUUGAGUGCAGGUGAGGAAAGUGGAAUUCCCAGUGUAGCGGUGAAAUGCGUAGCUAUUGGGAGGAACACCAGUAGCGAAGGCGGCUUUCUGGCCUGCAACUGACACUGAGGCACGAAAGCGUGGGUAGCAAACAGG
rnacentral:rRNA from 1 species